CCAGCCAGGCGAUUUUUCACCGCCAUGCACCGAGCCUGGGUGUAGCAGAGUUGGGCUCGGGGGAAAGCAUUUGGACACCGGGGACACUCACCGGUGUCGGGCGGAUCCGACCAACCCACACCUCGCCGGGGGCAAACGUAACCUAGGCUCCAGCACCGGUACGGAACCCCUGUAUUUUGUUCUUCUCAUCUCUUUCAUUGUGUCUACCAUAUGGGGGCUUGGGAUGGGGUGGUUGCGCACCUGCACUUUCUCGCCGGUGUGCACUUCCGCCGCGGCACUGCAUGCUGUUGUGGGUAGGCUCGGUCCACCAUCGGUUCGUAGGUUUCGUGCCACCACCGAAUUCGCACUAGCCCCUUCUUCACGUAGCGCCAUGCCGGACUCGGAUGGCACUCCUGCGGGUUGGAUGGCCUGUCGCUGGCAUGGGCACCGACGGGGUGCUUGGUCAGGCCGUCGUGGGCACUGCUGGAGGUUGACGAUGGAUAAGAAAUAGUUGAUCUAGUAUUCAACGACUGAGAUUAGAAGAUAGCUUACCUCUUCGUCCAACAGAACCUUGGCCGUAGAUCUAUAAUCCAAUGGAUGUGAAUGAAUCUUGGUAAUAUAGAAUUCGAGCCGUCGAUCUUGAUCCUGCGGCUUCCAUCUAAUAGCAGUCCAGUCUCCCUUGAUUUGUUCUGGGCCGUUCCGAUCUAAUCUAACGGUCCAUCCAACCUCGUACCCCUUCGCGUGCGCCAUUUUGCGUAAGAAACCCCGAGGAAAAGAUGAAUCAACCCGCCAUCCUCUGACUGUGGAAAAUAAAUAAAAGUAGGUCUCUGAAAGUUGUAAUUUAAACCCUGUGCUCUCUGGAAUUCAUGGCCGUAAUCCAAUCAGUUAUUAAAUAAGUGAAAAUAUAAUCAAAAUGAAUUUCUUAUAUAAAAACAAUUCUAGAAUCUUGAUUAAUUUCUAGCAAAUUUAUUUUAGCUCCUUUUUAAUCCAUUCCAGUUGCAUUAAUAUUGUUUUAAUAUUGUCUAUCAGUUAAUAACUCUAUUUUAGCAUGAAACCUAGAUUAAAAUUAAUCACUUAGUUAUUUUUGUACCAAACACAUAAAACCUUCAGAAAAUCAAAACUCGAAAAUCGUAACUCCGAAUUUAGUGAUUCUUGUUCCUACGAUCUUGUUGCGAUGCGUAGAAUAUUAUCAUGCAGUAUAUUACUCAGUUUGGUGUGAUGAUUAAUUUCUCUUGUACCAUGUUUGUUUGUAUUGUGGCGAGUAGACGAGCAAGGGAUUGAGAACCCAGGUGUUCAGCAGGUAGAAGUUGCUGAGCAGGAGCUCAUUGAAGGCAAGUUGUGUCCUUGACCACUUUUAUUUACCCAAUAAUGUUCUCUAUAAUCAUUUUGGCAUGCAUAGGCUUAAUUUUGAUGGGACCCAAUAGGUCACCCUAGUUUGGUCAUCUUUACACCUUAUUUAUCCUUGAACUUUUGGGUAGUCUUUGCUAUUGCUAUAUAUGGUUUUGGAUGUUGAGAUAACUAUUACACAUGUCAUUCUUUAUUAUUAUUGUUCUAUUUUUGUUCAUGAUAAGACUAUUAUGUUAAUUGGAACAUGGAGCUUAACUUGAGAAACACGUGCCACCACAAGGGUGGAAUGGGACGCCCUUGGCUGACUAAUUAGAAAAGCUAGUGGAGUCUACCUUACCCGAAAGGGGCAAGGGCAGUAGGGGAGUUGGCGUGUAGGGAGGUUCUCGGGUUGAUUUUGCUACGAUGGUGGUCAGACGGGGGAUUCUUGCAUUGCGCUCCCUAGAAACUGUAGCAAGUUUUUUGAAGCUAGUGGAACUUUGUAAAGGCCUCGUAGUGUUACCCUGCCUCGCUUCCUUGGUAGAUGUGUAUGGGGCCCGUACAACCCCGUGGCAAAUGGGUAACAUGACUUAAAGAAAUAUUUUACUAAUUCUAAGUAAUUAAGUGCUAUACAUAUGAAUACAUUUAUCAUGACUAGUAAAACCUAUAUUUUUAAUCCGACCGAAAAUAUGUGGCCUAGUAUUUCUUCUACUUUCUUAUAUUAAUAAAAUUAUACUUAAAUCACUACUAACAAAUAUUGUUCCAUGUUAAAGCGAAGUUAGCCGUAAACGUUUCUAGUAUGUAAAUCACCAAGUUAGUGAAUAGUGACAUUAUUUAUUUUUUUGAAAUAUAAAAUAGUACUCAUGUCCAAAAUAUUGUUGCAGGGUAGUUCAUGAUUUAGUGUGUUCAUCGGGGUCUCUUUUGAAUAAUUUCUAAACUGAAAAUCUCGGAAUUAAUUUCAUUUACACGCAGGGACUAAAAUGCAAAAUGUGCUUCUUCUACCUUGAGCUCUUGCUCACGCUCCAAUUGCCUUGUUCAGCAAAGUCUGAAAGAUGGGAAAGUUGUGGCUCUGUAAUUGGUAGUUCAAGGGUCCAAUCAAUCCUUCCAAGAAAUGUUCUUGACGCUUCUCGUUAGUGUCCACUUCCUCUAGGGCGUAACAUGAAAGCUGGGUGAAGCGAUCACGGUACUCACUAACAGUCAUGUUCCCUUAUGUGAGGGAAAGGAACUCCUUCUUGAGCUUCAUUAUUCCCGAGGGAAUAUGGUGAGCAUGGAAGUUCACUUGGAAUUCCUGCCAGGUUAUGGCAUCAGCAUUGGCAUGUGCCGCGAUGAAGGCAUCCCACCAAUCGGACGCGGCACCUUCGAGUCUUCCAGAAGCGUACAAGACCUUCUCUUGGUCAUUGCACUGGGUGAUAUCUAACUUCUUUGCAAUGACCUUAAGCCAAUCAUCGGCAUCCAAAGGGUUUACUACAUGAGAGAAAGCAGGCGGGUGAUGACUCAUGAAGUCCUGGUGCUUGUCUCUAGCUUGGGGUGCAUGUUGUUGUUGUUGUUGGUAUUGUUGGUUCUAUUGAUUUUGCUGAAUUUGCUGCACCGAAGCUGUGAGUCCUUGCAGAAGUUGCAUCUGCGCUGCGAUGAAUUGAUCCAUAGUAGGGUUGGGUGGUGGUGGUGGCAACUGUUGACCACACUGGUUCUGAUGGAUAUUGGGACCUGAUCGAGUGUUCACCAUCUGGUUGGUUAGAAAGUGCAAUCCCAGGGUAAGGGAGGAGUAGAAAAGAUUCUAGGGGGAAUAGCUUAUUAUUAAUGUUAAGUUUAUUAUUAUUAUUAUUAUUAUUAUUAUUAUUAUUAUUAUUAUUAUUAUUAUUAUUAUUAUUAUUAUUAUUAUUUUAUGCUCUUAUGGCCAUCAUUCCAUAAGACCAUUGCACUCAAGCAAAACUCCAAAUCAAACAUUUCAAACAACAUCAUCACAUGGUUGUUAUUAUUAUAAGUGUAAUAAUAGAAACGUGUUCUUCGUCUAACGCGAAAUCUAACUUAUUACAACACAAUUGAAGAAUUUAAAGUAGACUAGUGAUGGAUCCUGGUUCUCCAUAGUAGAUCCUCUUGCGGAGAGGGGAUAACGCCAUGGCAGGGACUUGAACUUUAGGGGGAUUCCUUCCAUCUAGCUGAGCUUCCAGGGCUGUGAUCCUUGCGUGUGCAUCCUCCAGCUCCAAGUGUACCCUAGAGAGGUCCAGGGUAACACUAUCCAAGUCGGUGUUAAGAUCUGCCACCACACCAGCUAGGGUGUUGAGGCGAUCUUCUCCAGCUCCACCUGGAACAAUGCUGGUAUGGCUUUCUCCACGAAUACGCAGAGGAAGAUGCCUGUACUUUGUGUUGUGCAGCUGCUGCCGGUAGGUGUGGCUGAGGGACCACAGAGUUUGCGUAGCAGCAUCGCUAACCGAAGCAGCGUAGGUGGAUAGCGGCGUCAGAGACUCGUGAGCUGACAGAGUCCUGAACGCUCUAUCACCUGCAUCCAUCACCCUAACAUGAAUGCAAGUGAUGUAGUAGCAAGACCGAGGAGGCUCGUACACUCGCGUUGUCUCAUACAGGGGUCGGACGUAGGUUCCCAACGCAUGCAGAACAUCCUGCAGUAGGUUAGGGAAGUGCCCUGUCUCGAAUAUUGAGGUAUAAUGUUCAGUGACAGGCCACAACCCCACGUAGUGGUCCUCCUAUUCUUUGUUGGCUUCCUCGUUGAUGUUUUCCUCAUCUUCUUCUUCGUCUUCGUCAUCUUCAUCAUCGUCACCAGAGUCGUCCGGGUCAUCGCCACCGGGAGCAGGGGCUUGGACUACUGGUGCUGGCGGUGCUGAAGCUGGCGAUCCAGCUGCGAAGGCUAGUGAUUCUGCCAACGGGGUGGGCGUAGGCAGAAACUCCUUCGAGCUGUCCUCUAGAAUGACUCCGUUCUCCACACGAAUGCGAGGGAGAUCCAUAGGGAUUUCCUCGACUACCACUGGGUAGACAAGAACUUGCCAUGGCAGAGGGAUGUAGUUGGUGUUGAUCCGAGUGGUUUGGAUAGUACGAACCAUCUACAAGAGAAAAUGUCAACUUAGCUGAAUUUUAAGGAGGUAAGAUUAAUAAAAUAAUUUUGUAAGAACAAAAUAAGCAUGUUUUGAACAAACUAGGCUGUCCAUUUCUAACUAGUCUAACGACCUAGAGUCAGCAUAGCUUUGAUACCACUUCUGUCACACCCGGUUCUGGGGGGAAAACCGAAUGCAUAGCAUAUGUGGGCUAGGAUCCAUUUUCCACACAUAUGUUGACGUCACAAGUGUAAUAUAUCAAAAGACAAUGUAAUAAAGGAGUAAAGAGAGUAGAGUAACUUUAUUACAUCAUCCAGAAUAUUGUAUCUUAACAAGUAUCAUAAUCAAAGUACGGCGGAAUUAAACAUGGACACUCUUCCACAGGAAGGUGACUGGCGCAUCGUUAGACUCAAAACUCAUCAACGUCAUCUGCGAAGUCUUCGUCAUCACCCUCUAAUCAAAAUAUUAGCAAGGGUGAGCUUAGUUAUGGUCGGAGCUCAUCAAGUGGGGGAAAUAAUGCAAAGUUAACAAGGUAGGCUAUGGAUAAGCGGUAAGCAUUUUAGUUGGUCAAUAUUUUAUUAGCAACACCUGUCUUACUAAUAAGUGUGUAUCCCAAAUAUCUCAAUUAAUCAAAGGCAUAAGAUUAUAUCAAAAAAACUUAAGUGAAAUCACUUAAGCAAACCAUUGGUAGAUCAUCAGAUCACGAUUUAUUUUCCAUCUUUAAGUUCAAUUAUCAUGUGAGGGUCCAAGUUGCUCUUAACCGUGAGCACGGCUGACAUAUCAGUUUUACACUCUGCAGAGGUGGUACAACUUUACGCACAAGCCAUGUAUCCCAUCUAGCCUGGGUUGAUCGGACCCGUAAACACUACCGAGGUGAAUGGCUAGGGAUCCAUUAUGAGGCUUUCACAAAAUAUCCUUAGUACAAAGCCACCCGCUAAGGUUUCCAGGUCAGUGUUGAUGGCCCUCUGGGUGAGGUAACUUAGCCAAGACUACCACCCCAUGUUAACAUGAGCUGCCACCAAACCACUGUCGCCCCCUCUUGCCCAUCUUUCAGGUAGGGUUGCUAAGCACUAAGUCUAUAGAGCUAGUUACCAAAGCCAGAGCCAUUAUAACACUCAUGGUUGCACUAUUAUCCUAGGUGGUCACUCCAUGUUCCAUUUAAUACAAAAUGUUCUUGUUUAAACCAUCAGGUUAACAUCAUAAAUAAAACUUCAUAUCUGGAACAUAGUAUCAUUAAAAGAGUGACAUCAUAUUUAUCAAGUUGAGCAAAUAGCAAAAAUUGCUAAGCAAAGCAUUUAUCCUAGGGUAAUUCAAGGAAUAGGGUUGGUAAUUCUAGGAAAUCUUUAUUUAGGCAAAUCCCAUCAAAUUAUGCAAUAUAUCCAAAAAGUAAACAUUAUUAUAUACAUUAUUUGGGUAUAAAUAGAAAUACAGAGGGAGAAUCCACUUGCCUUGCACGAAAGUGUCCUGUGGGACGUCCUCGAACGAGUUUGGUUCGUCUACCUUAGGGUCAACUUCUAGCAUCGAUUUGCGUAUCGUACAUACAAAAGAAUACAUACGCCAAAUAAAUAAACAUACACCAUUACAUGGGUAAUCAUUCACCAUUACAUAUACAUUCAUACAUCACAAACCUAUACUUAUAAAUAUGUUUACAACAUAUAUAAAUGUUUGUUAAUCCACUAUAUCUUCCUCUUUUGAGUUAUCAUUGGUGAAAAUAUGAGCAGGUGAUCAUGAUGCUAGUUUAUUUAGUAUAAUAUAGAUAAAAUGACUUAACAAAUUUUACAGAAAAUAAUUAUUAAUUAUAUUCUUUAUUACUUAAUAAUAGACUUUUGGGUUUUAUUCUUUUCUUUCUAAAUAGAAAUUAUACGUACAGCUAAAAAUGUUUAUUUAUAAAUCGCCUAACAUUAAUAUUCUAAGAAUUAAUGUAGAGUACUAAUUGGACUUUAGUAAUAUAAUCAUGAUGAUUUUGACAUAAAGAAAUAUUUUACUAAUUCUAAGUAAUUAAGUGCUAUACAUAUGAAUACAUUUAUCAUGACUAGUAAAACCUAUAUUUUUAAUCUGACCGAAAAUACGUGGCCUAGUAUUUCUUCUACUUUCUUAUAUUAAUAAAAUUAUACUUAAAUCACUACUAACAAAUAUUGUUCCAUGUUAAAGCGAAGUUAGUCAUAAAUGUUUCUAGUAUGUAAAUCACCAAGUUAGUGAAUAGUGACAUUAUUUAUUUUUUUGAAAUAUAAAAUAGUACUCAUGUCCAAAAUAUUGUUGCAGGGGUAGUUCAUGAUUUAGUGUGUUCAUCGGGGUCUCUUUUGAAUAAUUUCUAAACUGAAAAUCUCAGAAUUAAUUUCAUUUACACGCAGGGACUAAAAUGCAAAAUGUGCUUCUUCUACCUUGAGCUAUUGCUCACACGCAGGAAUGGAGAUCGACGAGGGGUUCGGCCGAGCAGGGGAGGAGCAGGGGCUCAGUCAAGGAGGGUGAGGCGUGGACGGCGAGGCUCGACGUCGAGCGGGCGCGGUCGACGGCGGAGCUCCGGCGGAUCGACGCGACGGCGAGCAAGGAAGAGAGAGGAGAGCGUGAGAAAGCGAGGGAGCUCGGGUAGGGAGAGCCAGGGAGGAAUGACCGGCCAUCAACGCCAUUAAUGGCGGCCAUUAUCGCCAUAGAGUGAGGGAGGGUCGAGGGAGAGGGAGAGGGAGAGGAGGAGCCGUCGCGGCGGUUUCCGGCUCGGGGUCGGCUCGGCCGGGGUCGGGCGUGGGGCGGGCGUGCAGCGGCACGACGCGGGUGCGGGGCGCCAGACGGUGGAGGAGCUCAAGAAAGGAGAAGGCCGCGGGGCUAAGGCAGGCCCACGCGCCAUAGAAACACUAGAGGGUUUGGGGCGCGCGGCUGAUGGGCCUGAGUGGGCCAGUUUCAGACGGCUAGCGUUAAGUCUAGGUUUUUUUUCAAUUUCUUUUCUUUUCUACUUAAAAAUAUAAAUAAAUAUAUUUUUAAAUAAUUCAAAAAUCAUAAUAAUUAUACCAAAAUUAUUUAUAACCAAAAUAUUUAUUUUUGGACCAAUAUUUCUAUAUUAAUUAAUUGGAUUUUCAAUAUAAAAUAAAUUCUACUAAACAUCCAUAAAUCAAAUAUGAGCAAACAAAAUUACUCUAAAUACAAAUAAAAAUCAAACACUUGAAAGAAAAAUUCAUUACCAUAUUUACCAUUAAUAAUCUAAAUGUAUUAUUUUUAGUUGAUGGUUUUGUAGUGUUACAUGUAUUUAUUACCAGUAAAGAGACAAGUUUUAGAAAUAACCCCAAGUUAUUAACCCCAAGUAAUUAGAAGAAAUACCAGAAUUCAUCACUGUAAUCAUCAUCAUUAAGCAUCGUCAUAAAGAUAACCAGAGUAACUCUAAUCAAAGGAGCUCCCAAGGCUACUCAUAAUCGUGAGCAUGUCUGAUAUACUAGUGUCUAACCCUCUGGAGAGAUAGCACUCUUUACCCAUGAGUUGUGAUCCCUUCCUAGCCUGGGUUGUAUAGACCCGAUCUUCACUACCAAGGUGAAUGGCUAGGGAUUCACUAUGUAGCCUUUACAAAGAUCCUCCAGAGGUCACAGCUACCCGUUAGGUUUCUCCAGUUUGAUAAAACAUAGUACCUCUCCCCGUAGCAGGGGUGACUAACAAAAGCGAAGUGAACGAAUCUCGGCAACCAGCCUCGAUAGAGAAAGUACUGUGCCUGGACCCAAUUGAUGGCCCGACGGCGAAGCCGACUACACUUCAAGUUCCUCUAAUUAAUCAGCUAAGGGCAUCCCAUACAACCCUCAUGGUUGUACUAUUUUCCCGGGUGGUCAUCUGUAACACCCUGAAUUUGGGGGUAUAAAAUUUCUUUCUAAAUAUCUACCAAAUUUAGGUGUUACACUUGUCUCUCUCUCUAGUCUCUCUCUCUUUCUUUUGGCUAGAAUUAAGUUAAUUAGGAGAUGGAUUAAUUAUUUAUUUUUUUCAAAACAAUGUGAGUCAUGAAAUGUUGCAUCAUGCUGAGCUUAAAAUAUCCUUUGAAUUGUUGCACAUGUUUGAAUUGGUUUGAGUUUGAAUAUUGGUUUGAAUUUGAAUUGAAAACCCUAGAAAAAAUAAAAAGAAAAGCAUUUAGAAAAUCCCUGGAAAAGAAAAGGCCAUUUCGGCCCAAGUCAGCCCAGCCGGCCCACGCCCGCGCACCAGCCCUCCCUUACAGGCGGUCCCCGCCUAUCGGCGCCCUCUCGCGCCCAAUCACUCUUCCCCCUCUCCCUCUCGCUGCCCAGUGGGGUCGACCUGUCGGCACCGAACCAUUCUCGCUUGUAGCCGCUCUCGCUCGCUGCUCGGUGGGACCUCCCUAUCAGCAUUUGACCACCCAUUUGUCGUUCACUAUCGCUGGUCCGCGGACCCCGCCUGUCAACCACUCCCCUCUUUCCAAACCUCCCACCCACGCUCUCUGUCGUGGACGCGCCCAUGACCACGCGUUUUUCGGCCAUGACCCCCACGUCUGAGCUCUUAUCUGCAGCUCACGGUCACUCACUCACUCCACUCGCUUAGUUGCGCCCUCAGCCGAGCACCCUCGCCCUCUCUCUUGCUCUGCGCGCGCGCCCAUGGAACUCCAUCGAAGGAUCGCCACCAUUACAUGGCCAUCGUCGCGCGUCUGUCGCGUCUGUUGCCUUGGUGAGCUUCGCCCCUUCGCCGGCAACACGGGACACCUCCCGAUUGGCCUCCAACCUCUCUAAUUCGCUAGAUCCGCGCUCACUGGCGUCUUCCCCGUGCAGCCGAAGCCCACCAUCGUCGACUCGAGCAAUCCCUGUGUCCCCGCCGUUGUCCCGGUGCUCUAGAGUUUCCUCUUGAGGUGAGCAACCUCCCCAUGCCCCUAUUUCUCCUUUUGUCACUCUGGUUUUCAUGCGAUUGCUCGUCGGAGCAAAUCCGCGCCGCCGUUGGGCCGCCCCGCCACGUUAUGCGCCCUCUGGUGCCCCCGCGCCGGUGUUGUGCCCACGGUUGAGUUCGCCGUGUCACCCUGAGUGCACUCGAGUCCUUCCCCAACCCCCUAGAGCCUUGUCGUGGAUGUUCCCUCGCCUCCAGCGAGACCUCACCGUGGGGACGAGCGGUGCCACCGCACUCAAGACCGGCCGCCCUAACCUUGCUAGCCGUUGGAUCCCGAACGUUCAUCCGAGAUCUGGCGAUCUAGGUUUAAUUAGGACCAAUCUAAUCUCAGCCGCCCGUGGUAGAUCUGAUCGCUUAGAUCUCCCCCUCACUCGCGCCUCAGCCGCUGGGCCCGGCCCAUCAGUCCUACCUCAGGUCAGUGAUGCCCCGAGCCCAACUAUCGGCGCUUGCCACGCCCGUGCGCUCGUCUGUGAGAUCUAAUCUGGGUCGUUGAUCGAAGAUCAGAUGGUCAGUAUAGCCCCGUAGCCCUUCGCGUGGUAAAGUUGCUAAAGAAACCCUCGGUUUUCCGAGAAUCAACACGCCGUCCUUGGGUUUUGCGCGUAGGCCCCAGGAUUCUUAUAAACAGACCCCCGGCCUUUUAAAUAAUCACAGGAUUGGACCUAAUUUUGUAUUUCAAACUUCAAAACUUGUUUAUUUCAUAUCUUUUUCAUAUGAACUCCAAAUUUAGUGAUUCAAAUUGCAAAAUGUUCUUAGGAAUAUUCUGUGUUCAAAUAAAUUAUGUUCAUCCUCUGUCUGUGCAUUCUAAUUUUAUGCCUAGGCUAUAGGUUAAUUUAUGUGAUAAUUUAAUUGUUCAAUAAGUCAAAUAAAAGGAAAACCCUAGUGGUAAAUGAAUAUUUAAUCUUGUGAGAUUAAUAAUAUGUAGUAUAUGAAUUUAUCCCUGAUUUAACUUUUAUGUCUCAUUAAAAUGGGUAGAACCAGAUUAUGUAAUCAUGGAGAAAGACAACACUUAGAGAAUAACAAACUACUAAAUGUGAUUAGUUCACCCUAUACCCUAAACAUCCUUUUGAGUUUAUACUUUUCCUUUUGAGAUGUGUUCCAUUGUUCGUACAUGAUUGGUGUGCUGUUCAUUUGUCAUUUUCCAAAUGUAUUGAAUGCAUGAUCGCUUUAUUUAGACAACGAGUAGCGUGUGGUUCCUGAGCGUGUUGCCGAAGAUUUUCCUAAGCAACAACCUGGUGAAGGCAAGUGUCCUUUGACCUAUUAUGUCCUACUUACUUUAUAAUUCACUUCCCACAUUACAUUAUAGAAACCUAAGGAUUGACUAGUCUGUAUUUACCUUAUCCUUGUUUACCUUUUGGGUUAUCAUGGUUAGCUUUAUGCUAUUGCUUUACUUUAAUCAAUGAAUAUGUUGUGAAUACUUAUGAUACGAUGAUGUUAUCCUGAUGAUGAUCUUGUGAUACUUUAGGGGACUCAGGCUGUUUCCUGAGUACCUCUCUGUAAGGACCUGUUCAUGGAGUAACCACCCGGGAUAACAGUGCAACCAUGAGGGUGGAAUGGGACACCCUUAGCUGAUUAAUUAGAGGAACCUGAGGUGUAGUCGGCUUCGCGUAGGGUCAUCAAUGGGGUCUGGGCACAGUACUUGCUCUACCGAGGCUGGUUGUAGAGGUUCUUUGAUUUGGUUUUGUUAGUCACCCUUCCUUUGGGGAGAGGUACUGUGUUUAUCAAACCAAAGAAACCUAACGGGCGGCUAUGACCUCUGGGAAAUCUUUGUAAAGUCUACGUAGUGAGACCCUACUAGGUCACCUUGGUAGUGAUCAAAGGAGAGUCAUGAUCUCUAGGCAGAAUGGGAAUCACGACUUGUGGGUAAAUUGUGCGACCUCUGUAGAGUGUUAGAAACUGGUAUAUCAGUCGUGCUCACGGUUAAGAGCGGCCUUGGAUUCUCUUUGAUCAGAAGAAUUUCGGUUACUCUUAUUAUGAUGUUUAAUGAUGAUGGUUACAAUUAUGAUCUCUGGUAUUUCCUCUUGGAGGGAGUACAUUUGGGUAAUAACUGGGUUUAUUACUAAAACUUGGCUCUACUGAUAGUAAUAAAUACUUGACCAACUAAAAGCAACUGCUUAACCUUAACUCCACAUACAGCUAGUCCACUUUAGCCAAAUGGGGCAUUUGCUGAGUACGUUGAUGUGUACUCACCCUUGCUUUAAAAACCACCCGACCCCAGGUUGUCCCCACUAUAUUCAAUGCUCAGGAGGAGAUGCUGGCAACAUGGAGAACUUUGAGGAGUUUCAGGACUACGACGAGUUCUAGUUAUCUUAGUGGCAAACCCCUAAUCAGCUGCCUAUGAAGGUCUUAUCUACUACGUUUUGUAGUCCGCACUUUGCUAAUGUUAAAUGACUAUGUUAUAGACUCUGUGGAUGUCUUGGACAUCUUGAUGUAAUAAAGUACCUUUCCGCUAUUUACUUUGAGCAAUGUGUGAUGAUGUCAUAUUGUGUAAUUGUUGUGUAUGUGAGUUUCUAAUCUUGGCACGUACAUGGUUCACAUCUGGUUUUCCUUCCAAAACUGGGUGUCACAUAAGUGGUAUCAAAGCCUUGCUGACUGUAGGACCGCUAACCUAGACUAGAAUGGUCGUCCUAAGGACUAUAGACCUCUACCCUUACCUUGACCUUUAGUGUCAUUUGAAAAGUUGGUCAUCUUGACCAAUUCUAUGUUAUUACUCAUCUUACAAAAUUUUGUCUCACUUUUCUUUCUGAUUACUUGCUGGUCACAUAGUUCUACUCUCACUCUUGUGCUUAUGAUGUCUUUUGUAGGUGACUCGUAUUAGAUGCACUGCACGUAAGUCAGUUGUUGGGACUCGCUCUCCCUAGCAAGAUGAUCCAACGGGGGAGUGAGAGCAACGUAAACAAGGUUUCAAUUCGAGAUGGCAAAAGCUCUGUUAAUCUAGCCUCUCAAGGGCACUGUGCGGGGGUAUUUAUAGGUAUCUGAGUGCCCAGCAUCCUGAGUUAAGGACUCAUGUGCCCUCAGGCGCCUAGGUUAUCCCCAGAAUAUUCCCAUAAAGCAGGGUUACAAAGUGUAAUUAUAGGGAGACCUUUACAAAUCAGGCCUGUAAUGCGCAGCGGCCACGCAGGGCCUGUUACAAUGGGCCAGAUCGCACGUGGGCCUCCAUUUUGGACGAGGUCGCGAGAUGGGACGACCUCGUCACAGGCCUUCGUCCGACGAUGCGUGGGACGAAGGGUAAGUCUGCCAGUCGUCUUGUCUCCGUUGGUGCAGCGAGGCUGGCGAAGGCAUCGAGCGAAGGGUGGCGUCUUCGCCUUCGCCCCAACAUUUGCCCUCCGAGGGACCAGUUCGACUAAGUCAUCUGGUGCCGAAGGCAUCACUAGAUGGUGGAGACGUUGCCCUCGCUCGAAGUGGUUCCACGGGGGUUUUUGACAUCACCGUUGAUUGACGCCGCACUGUUGGAUUGCGGGUUUCCCGAAGCGUCGUGCCCUGUGUAUAUAAAGGGGGCUUGGGCGGCACGGAUUGAAAUUUACCUUUCUACGUGCUGCGAAAACCCUAGCCCCACUUUCAAACUGCUCGCUUGCUCGUCUGCCCUCCUUGCUCCUGUUCAUCGGAGAACUAGCCCGCGUGAAGCAGACCGCACGCCGCCGUCGACGGUACGUAGCCAUGCCGUCUUCCUCCUCGUCUGCUGCGACCACGCUGACGGCCGGGGCGUCUUCUGAAGAUCUCUCGGGCACUGUGGCGGCGGCGGAGUUGCGACCAGGUGAUACAGUGGAAUUCGAUGUGUCGCGGAUGUCGUUGGCCCGCGUGCAAGAUAUGCAACGAUUGGGGUAUUUUGGUGGCGGGGUUGGUCGGGUCCCGGGGGCGGAGGAGGUCCCCGAGCCCAAGGGCGAAUUGGUUGUUUUUGUGGCGUUUUUCAUCGCCGGACUUCGCCUGCCGGCGCAUCGUUUUGUGUUGGAGGUUUUGCAAAAGUUCGAAGUCCAGGUUCAUCAGUUGACACCAAACGUCGUGGUAGCGUGGCGAAGUAUGUCUGGGCAACAACGUCAUAUGGCGGCCAGCCUUCGGUGGAGGUCUUCGCCAAGCAAUACUGUCUGCACUGGCAGAAGAGAAAAAUGGGAUAGAAGAUUGCGCAAUUUGGAUCGUGCACUUUCACGCCGAAGUCCGGGAAGACUUCGAUGGAAGUUGUGGAGCUGGUCCCCUGUGCCCGGAAUAAGUGGGGCAACUGGUGGGACUACUGGUUUUAUGUUUCGGAGGCUGAAAUCGAGGAUCACCUAGGGCUCUCUGCCGCCAUUAUGUGUUCGCAUUAUUAUGUGGCGUACCCGUCGUUUGAAGUGGCGGAGGAUGAUGAGAAUGAGACGGCCCUUCGGAUUGCUGCCCGCACGAGCAGUGGGCGCGAUCUGGUUGAGGAAUUCAUAGGAUAUGGGGUGUGGCCUUUGGCGCAUGGAUGGGCGCUGGGCGAAGUAUGCCCUCGCGAGAUGCCCUCCCUGGGUGGACUGAAGGUGCGAAGUCCGUGUUUUUGCUUUGGAUUUGCGAGGGCGGGAUCGUGCCGCGGUUGUGCGUGAGGCAGAGGAUGGGGCGGUGAGAAUUGUUGGGCGCUAUGUGCCGAAGACGGAGGCCCAGUGGAGUUGGGAUAUACGUGAAUCCAACAACCGCCUGAAUAGGGUCUUUGAGUUGAAUUGUUUGCCGUAUGGCAGUUACCCUGGGGAGGACGUCGUCGAUCGCCGUGGGAAAAAAACAGCGGCUGUGACUGAGGAUGACCCCGCGCCGGAGGCCGCCCCAGCCACUAAAAAGAGGAAGCUAGGUACUGCGGUGGGAGAACUGGGGGUCUCCGAUAGCUUUGCUAUGGAGUUGAUGGGAACAUGCGCGGCCUCCGGGGAAAGGAUGUCUUCGCCCGAACUCCGGGAGUCUUCGACGCGGAUGCUGGAGGUUACCGGGGGUCGAUGGACCAAGGACGUUCCUAUCCCCCGCGCGACAGGCGAAGACUUUUUUACGUCUCGCAUGGCUCGUGACUUGAGAGUGUUUCCUUACGGACGAAAUAUUGCUGUUGUUGUGUCGGCAGUGAUGAACAAAGAUUGCCAGGAAGCUGCACAGAAGCGCCGGGCGGUCGUCAGGCUCCCCGAAGCUAGGCCGAAGAGGGCGCGGGGGACUGCGAAGGCUACCGUCCUCGACGGUAGCCAGCCGACGCUGACGGCGAAGCCGGCUGCCCCUGGGUCCAGCAAGGUGCCGGAGAGUGCGAAGGCGGCCGGCGCCGGCGGAACCAAGUCUGCCCCGGACGGAGCUGCGAUGGUCCGGAAAUUGCCUUCGCCGGGGAAGCGUGUUGCCGACUUCGGCACAAAUAUUAGCGUGGACGACUAUCUUGUUGGUAAGCAUUUAUAUAUAUAUAUAUACUUUUUUUUUGACUGGUGAUACGUUGCAGGAUCGGGCGAGGGGCAACUUGUUGUUGUUCCGCCUGCGGUGGCGACCACGGCGUCUUCCGUGGUGCUUGGGGUGAAGGGUAGCGCUUUUAGCGCUGGCGGCGAGAUUUCGGCGGUCACCGCCGUCAAGGACGAAGCGGGCACUGUGUCUCGCCGGCUGAGGGAGGCGUCGCAGCAGGCGAGUCAAGUAAGUUGAGCUGGACUUCGGUGUUUACCGCUGUCAUGGGGAUUGUGGUCUCAUGUGUGUCUGUUAGGCGGCCGACUUCGCCGACCGCGUGGCGUCGCGAGCCCUUACUGCAGAUGUGUCUGCCAAAGUCGAGAGACUUCGGGCGCAGCACGCUGACGCUGUCCGGGAAAAGUCGGCUGCGGAUAGCAAGUGCCGCAAGCUGGUGGAGAAGGUGGCCGCCCUGGAGGGCGAGAGGACGGACCUCCGACGCCAGUUGGUGGAGGAGAGGAGGGAGGCCAACCAGGCCAUCGCCAAGGCGCAGGCGGCGCAGGCAGAGGCCAAAUUGGCGCGGGUGGAGGGGAGUCUCGCCAGCCAGCACGCUGAGGAAUGGGAGGUGCGGUUCAACGCUCUGCAGGCCCGCAUGGAGAGGGCCGAGGCCUCCACGCGCUCGGAAGUUGAGCGGACGCGCAAACAGCUCGUGGACUCAUACCGCGAGCUGGGUGCGUGGACUGCUAACUUCGAGGUGCCCGACCGAGAGGCGGGCCUUCGCUUCCUCCAGUGGCUGCAAGAGGAAUUGUUGGCGCUCCCGACCAUUGUAGAGGGAUUCAUGUCUUUUGCCUCCCUCGUUACAUGCGAAGGGGCUAUGAACGCGCUGUCCCGCGAGGGGUGCAGUCACUAUGAGGUCUUUGACCGAUCCGAUGAAGACUUUGGGCGCGAGAUUUUUAAGGUCGAAGACCCUGUGGUGAAGGACUCCGCGGGGGCCCUCUUCGACCGGAUGUGGGGCCCCUACGGUCGGGAGGUGGUUAGGGAGCGAUCUGACCGGGCAAGGGAUCAGGUAAAGUUUGUCUUUUGUUUAGUGUCGUUGAAUGUGGGUAUACGCGGGCUUGCUGAAUCGGUGUGCUGUGUUGUAGAUGGCGCGUGCCGAGGAUGUGGAAGACUUUGGGCCCCUGAACAGCGCGCAGCCCGAAGUGGAGGCCAACCCGGUGGUGGCCGAGGUUGAGGUCGACUCGGCA
rnacentral:lncRNA from 1 species